CCAGACUGUGACCUGGUACUCAAAUGAUGUCUCUAGUGCGGUUAGCGGUGCUGUAUCUUGCAUUUGGACUAUCCCAUAGACUCUUGUCACAUCAUAUAGCUCUUCUGGGAUGUUUGGGUUAAAAACCAUUGCUCCCCUGACUGCUUUCCUGUUACCCUCUGACAGACUUGCCCUCUUUCUGAAUUACAGUCUCAGCCUCUGUCCCUGACAUCUCUUCAGGAUCCCAGCUCAGGUUAAAGCAGGACACUUUCCUGCGUAUGCAUUUUAGUCGCGGUUGCUGGAGGCAGUUUCACUCUCCCACCUCUUUUUCAGCCUUGUGAAUAGAAGAGGCGGCCGGGCUGCAGGUAUGGUGACUCCUGGGCCUGAGUCACGUCUCCUCAGGCUAUGGGCAGCAUGGAAAGUCCUGGCUCCCCUGGGGACCUCCAGCGCAGGCUGCAAGCCCGGCCGCAGAACAUGUCCUCUCCUCCGAGCAGGAGGUGGGAUGCUGGUUUCUCUCGGGAGGUGGCAGCACAGGCAGACGCGAUUCGCAUCUGCAGCUUGGCGGCCAGAACUGCAAAGGGGUGGCAGGGAGGCGGUGGGGUUGGUGUGGGAUUCCUUCCGUCCUAAACUGAAGCUCCGUAGUUGGAGGUAAGGAUUAGGAUGGGGAGCAUGAGGGUGUUGAUGCAUAGGAGGGAUCGCUUCAAACCCUUUCUUGAAGCGGAGUGGAAUCAGCCCAACAUCCUCACUGUAACACACUGGGGUCCAUCUCUCCUGAUCAGAUUCCUUUGUAUCAGCUGCAGCGGAUUGUCAGGUAUGGUGAAGGCCUGAGAUUCUGCUGUGGGGAGAGUGUCAUUUGGUGGCCAGGGAGCAAGACCCCUAGCUACUUUCUCCCAUGUGUGGGGAAAGGCUGUCUACAGGAGAUUGGGCACAGCCCUUAAGUAGCAGGGUUUUUGCAAGCACCUACUUAACCUGCAGGCUGCCACAAUACUUGUAUGUUAUUUUAUCUGCAAGUUAUCAGGCAGCGUUAGGUAAAAUGCCAUGAGAAAGGAAGAGCAAUGAUUAGUCACCAUCCCAUUAAAUGCUACAACCUGCUCCUCUCUCAGAAUCUCAUCUGUUCUUUUUAUCUAGAUUUGUGAAGCCUGGAAGCUCUGGUUCUUGCCUGAGGUUUUAGUAAUGGAUCAGAAAGCCAAGGAUACUAUAGGUGAUACAGUGUGACCAUCACCUGGAAAACACGCACAGAUGCAGGGGGUUGGGUUUCUGCAGAAACCAGACACAGUCUGGUCCAGAAAUCCAUGGGUAUAUUGCUUAAUAUACCCCUCUGUCUCUAUUCUUUGAAUUCAGCCAGCCAAGAACACUGAAUCAGCUGGGGAUGCUGCAGAGCCUUGGUGGGAGGAUGUUUGCUUACUUCAUGAACUUUGGGAAGUUUUGUGGCAACAUGGGAAACACAGUAGAUUCAGUUUUGCCCCAGUAGUAAUUUGUGAAUGCUGUCUGUAGGUUUGGGCAUCCAAAAGCAAAGGGUGCUGCAAAUCCCAAUUCAGUCAAUUCAAACUGUGUUAAUAGCAUCAGCAACUAGAGGGUGGCCAGCCAGCCCUACAGUCCUUCAAAAAGUAAAACAAUGUACUUGAGUUUUACUCCUUGUUUUAUAACCACUGAAGGGGAACUAGUCUCAUAUACCAGGUAAUUCCUGCUUGACACUGCUUAGGGCACCAUUGAAACCACACCUUAAGCAGGCAGCACUGAGAUGGUGAAGCACAGAAAGGCAACAGAAAAACCUGAGGUUUGCAAGCACUUAGAAAGGGGCCACCUCCCAUUUUUUUCUCCCCACUCUUUGCUCCCGGCAGCCUUGGAAGGCCCAUCCCUACUCUCGUGACUGUACAGAAAAGGAAAUUUUCUCUAAAGUGUCUGAAAGUGUUGAAAUUCUCUCUUUCAGAACAGUUUCAUUCCUGAGAGUAACCCUCAUGCCCCAGAGAGAGCUUGUGGCAUUGGCGUGUGCACUAAGGACAAGUGGUGCAAGACCUGCAUUGCUACACUCCUUUUGCUGCCAGAUACAGGAAGAUCAAUCCAGACAACAUGAUUGCUGUCUGCAUGGCUUUUACCCAUUGGCAACCAUCUCCUCGUGGUGACAUCAGCUGAGGUGGAAAGACUAUAAUUUUAUAUCACAGUAGUCAUUUAAAGUAAAAAUGAACAUUAACAUUU